rnacentral:rRNA from 1 species
UACGGAGGGGGCUAGCGUUGUUCGGAAUUACUGGGCGUAAAGCGCACGUAGGCGGCUUUGUAAGUUAGAGGUGAAAGCCCAGGGCUUAACCCUGGAAUUGCCUUUAAGACUGCAUCGCUAGAAUCGUGGAGAGGUGAGUGGAAUUCCGAGUGUAGAGGUGAAAUUCGUAGAUAUUCGGAAGAACACCAGUGGCGAAGGCGACUCACUGGACACGUAUUGACGCUGAGACACGAAAGCGUGGGUAGCAAACAGG